rnacentral:rRNA from 1 species
GGGGGGGGGGGGGGGGGGGGUGGGGCGGGGGAGGGGGAGGGGGGGGGGCCGGUGGGGGUACUCGAGUGGCGAGCGGGGGAGUAACACGUGAGUAACCUGCCCUUGACUUCGGGGUAACUUCGGGAAACUGGGGCUACUACCGGAUAGGAAUCCUUGCUGCAUGGUGGGGGUUGGAAAGGUUCGGCGGUGUUGGAUGGACUCGCGGCUUAUCAGCUUGUUGGUGGGGUAGUGGCUUACCAAGGCUUUGACGGGUAGCCGGCCUGAGAGGGCGACCGGCCACAUUGGGACUGAGAGACGGGCCAGACUCCUACGGGAGGCAGCAGGGGGGAAUAUUGCACAAUGGGCGGAAGCCUGAUGCAGCAACGCCGCGGGCGGGAGGACGGCCUUCGGGUUGUAAACCGCUUUCAGCAGGGGCGAAGCUUGUGGUGACGGUACCUGCAGAAGAAGCACCGGCUAACUACGUG